GCAAGUCGAACGGUGAAGGAGGAGCUUGCUCCUCUGGAUCAGUGGCGAACGGGUGAGUAACACGUGAGUAACCUGCCCCAGACUCUGGGAUAAGCGUUGGAAACGACGUCUAAUACCGGAUACGAGCUUCAGCCGCAUGGCUAGGAGCUGGAAAGAACUUCGGUCUGGGAUGGACUCGCGGCCUAUCAGGUAGUUGGUGAGGUAAUGGCCCACCAAGCCUACGACGGGUAGCCGGCCUGAGAGGGUGACCGGCCACACUGGGACUGAGACACGGCCCAGACUCCUACGGGAGGCAGCAGUGGGGAAUAUUGCACAAUGGGCGCAAGCCUGAUGCAGCAACGCCGCGUGAGGGACGACGGCCUUCGGGUUGUAAACCUCUUUUAGUAGGGAAGAAGCGAAAGUGACGGUACCUGCAGAAAAAGCACCGGCUAACUACGUGCCAGCAGCCGCGGUAAUACGUAGGGUGCAAGCGUUAUCCGGAAUUAUUGGGCGUAAAGAGCUCGUAGGCGGUUUGUCGCGUCUGCUGUGAAAACUGGAGGCUCAACCUCCAGCCUGCAGUGGGUACGGGCAAACUAGAGUGCGGUAGGGGAGAUUGGAAUUCCUGGUGUAGCGGUGGAAUGCGCAGAUAUCAGGAGGAACACCGAUGGCGAAGGCAGAUCUCUGGGCCGUAACUGACGCUGAGGAGCGAAAGCAUGGGGAGCGAACAGGAUUAGAUACCCUGGUAGUCCAUGCCGUAAACGUUGGGCGCUAGAUGUGGGGACCAUUCCACGGUUUCCGUGUCGCAGCUAACGCAUUAAGC
rnacentral:rRNA from 1 species